rnacentral:sRNA from 1 species
AAGUGAGUAAUAAAACCCCUCAGCAGUGGUGCUCGGAGGCAGAUUCUUUAAAAUAUCGACGCCUUUCUUCCUGUCCAUGUAUGGUUUGUUCUCGUCCACGCUAGCCACUACUAUAUUUCUCCCAUGGAAUCGGAACAAUGUAAAUCCCCCACAGGUGCUCAUCCAGUGCUUGUCUGGACCGUCUAUCGGGUCAUAUACCACCGCGAACCAGUGUCGCCAUGGAUACUUGUUUUGGAGAUGGUUAUACAUCAGGUGGACAAAAGAAUAAUGAUCUAGGCCACGUUUGGUUUCGGCCAUCUGAAUGACGUCAGCUUCUGCUUGUUCCCGCCACUUGGAUUUCACAACUUGGUCAAUCUGCGUUAUGUGAUUCGUUACUUGUUUGAUUUUUUGUCCCCAGUCGUGUUUCAUAUAUUUGUAACUCUCGGAAUAGUUCUUAACGAUAAGAUACGACAUCUCGACAUUCACUCCCUGUAACAAUAAUUUGAGCACACUCAUCAUAAAUAGCUGCAUCGCUUGUCUGUUAUAUUGAGUUAAAGGAAGAGCGAUGUCAAACAUACUUUGGUAAAAUAUGCUAUUUUCACUCAUAACGGAGUGAAACAAUUUUUUAGCACUGUUUUGAAAAUCCGACUCGUAAUUCAGAAUGAAAAGUCUCACUUGUUCGGAAAAAGCGUCCGCCGGAACACUGUGUAGAAUUUCCAGUUCCUGGGCCGCCACGCGAAUUUUCUGUUCCGUGUUCCCUAGUUGCAUUUGGAUGCGAUGUUCUUCCAUUUUGUGUAUCAAGUUCUCCAAUUUCACAGAUAAACCCUUAAAUUCACGAUCAACUUCAAUCAUAAGUUUCUUUAACAGUCUCGAGUCCAAAGAAUUUGUGGAUUUCUCGCCUCCCGACAUUUUUUCUGCUCUCAGGCUAAGUAGAGCUGGAGCAAUCAUUUCUGUAAAUUUCUCAGCGAAAUUGCCAACGUUAUUUAUUUUGUCCACAAACGAACCAUUACCGUUGUCUAGCGCCUUGGCGGUGUUUAAAAUAUCCGUGACAUUUUUAAUCAAAGCGUUUUCAUUAGCAGUUUUUCCGAUAAGCAAACACAAAAUCAAAAUAAGUGCAUCCCUGGUCAUAUCCAUAGUAUAGACUACUUUAUUUUACAGCGAAAUGUGGUUUUGACGUGGAUUCAGAACGUAUAUAAAAAGUGACACAUACAUAAUUUGACAAGGCUCGAGUCGACAAUUUUAAGAACAAUUAAAAAAAAACAACUUACAUCAAAUAUUACAUUAACAUACUACACCACGUUAACAAAUGUUUUGUCAUCUACAGGGGCGAAAACAAAACCUCAGGCGGUCAAAACGAGACGUUGAAUUAACAUUUCAAUUAAGAAUUUAGAAGAUUUGAUACAUUACUAACUGUAAUCUCGUUUCCUCAAAUUGCGAAGUGUUUCUCAGUGUGCCUCAUGAGAUCCUACUGUAAGAAAAAUUCUCUAUGUCUUAUUAAUUCAAGCAUGUGUUAUAUAAGUAGCUACUGGUCAUUAACACACUUCUUCCUGUUUAAAAACAGCCGAGAUAUAGAUAUGUUAUUGCUCUUGUAGUUUGCUUGUCAAAAAUGCACAAUUUAUUAUUUGAUGGUAUUAUGAAAUUCUAUUGAUUAUACAAUAUACAUGUACUUAAAACAAUACUUUUUUUUAAAGAG